UACGUAGGGUGCGGGCGUUAAUCGGAAUUACUGGGCGUAAAGCGUGCGCAGGCGGUUGUGCAAGACAGAUGUGAAAUCCCCGGGCUCAACCUGGGAAUUGCAUUUGUGACUGCACGGCUAGAGUGUGUCAGAGGGGGGUAGAAUUCCACGUGUAGCAGUGAAAUGCGUAGAGAUGUGGAGGAAUACCGAUGGCGAAGGCAGCCCCCUGGGAUAACACUGACGCUCAUGCACGAAAGCGUGGGGAGCAAACAGG
rnacentral:rRNA from 1 species